GUUUGGUAAACUGGGAUUGCUCAAGUGGUAGAGCAUAGGACUCUUACCCUCAGGAUUGUGGGUUCAAACCCCACAUUGGGCA